rnacentral:rRNA from 1 species
UACGAAGGGGGCUAGCGUUGCUCGGAAUCACUGGGCGUAAAGGGCGCGUAGGCGGCCAUUCAAGUCAGAGGUGAAAGCCCAAGGCUCAACCUUGGAACUGCCUUUGAUACUGUUUUGGGCUUGAGACCGGUAGAGGUAAGUGGAACUGCGAGUGUAGAGGUGAAAUUCGUAGAUAUUCGCAAGAACACCAGUGGCGAAGGCGGCUUACUGGACCGGUUCUGACGCUGAGGCGCGAAAGCGUGGGGAGCAAACAGG